rnacentral:lncRNA from 1 species
GGGCCCAAAACCCUUAAACCUACCUAGCCCACAACCCACUAAACCUAACAGAAGCUCAAACAACCAAAACCUACCCAAAACUAAUCCCAAUCUGACCCAACUAGCUAAAAAAUUUAGGGUUUCAGAAUUUGAAACCCUAAAUCACCUAUCCCACUGCCCCCAGUCACAUCUUCUGCAAGUGGCCUCUGCUCCACCGCCUCUUCACCUGCAACCAUUAAAUGUGAGAAUAGUGUAGAAAACAGAGGGAUUGUAAAGGCUUUAUAAAAGCCGAAUAGAUGAUUUUGUAAAAAAGGUUUUUAGGUUAGCAGAUUUUUACAAUAAAAUCUCUUAGAUUGGAACCACCUAUAUCAAAAAAGAAGUCUCAAUACCAAAACAGAGAUUAAAAAUACCAACAAAUCGCAAGAAGCAAAAAAGAAGCCCAAAGAAGAAAUCAAAAUAAAAAAACGAGAGGUGUUUUAAAAUUUUUGAAUCUGUUUCUUUCUUUUCUUUUCUUUUUUCUUUUCCUGUCUACAUGGACAUGCAUAUAUGUUAUUAAAAUGAAGAAGAAAAAUAAAAAAUACACCUUUUUCGAAACCCCGGCCACCGCACGGCACCGGCGGCGGAAGGCGCGACGGACGGUGAUGAAUGCUGGUCGAACCCGGGGUACCUGCAGAGAGAAAAGAGAGGAUUAGAAGACCUUUUUUAAAAAAGGGAGAAGGGAAAUGAAAUUAAAAAAAAAUAAUUAGUCUAUAUAGGCCGGCAAAACGCACCGUUUUGCCCGCCCCUUUUAAAACCCAGAAACGGCGCCGUUUAGGUGCGACCCGAAGACCCGACCCGUCUUACCCUGGGAUCAGCGUGUUUUUUCUCUUAGGGGCUAAUUGCAUGCUCGGUCAUUCCGCUUUUUAUAUGUUUUGCAAUCAAGUUUUCAAUUCUUUUAAAUUAGCCCCGAGGUUUAUCGCAUUUUGCAAGUUGGUCCUCCCUUCAGCGACACCGUUUCAAGGGCUCGGGUAAAUUGCCCUUUUGGAACCCGUGUGUUAUUUGUGCUUUCAAAUUGGUCCCUUUCCCCUUUAUUAAUUUUUAAAAUCAGCCCCAAAACUUAAUAUUUGUUUCAAAUUAGUCCUUUUUUUAGACUUAAUACGGUUUCUUUUAUUUUUUUUCACUCUUUAUUAUUUAAAUAUCAUUCAUUUUUAUAUUUUACUAUUUUUGUAUUAUCAUCAUUAGCAUAUUUUUUUAUUAUUUAGAUAUUUUUAGUUUUAAUUAAUACUUACAUAUAUUUUAUAUAUAUUCAUAUAGUUGUUUUAUUAUUAUUCCUAAUAUAUAUUUUAUGUAUACACAUUUAAAUACUAUAUCAUACUCUAUAUUAUGCAUAUACAUAUUAACAUUAUACCAUAUGUAUAUUUUUAUAAAUACUAUAUAUAUAUACUUUUAAUAUAUUGUGUAUAUUGUGUGCAUACUUCUAAUAUUAUCAUGUAUUCAUUUUAAUACAUAUGUAUAUAUCUAUGUAAUAUCAUUAAUAUUUAUUUUUAAGCAUCAUUAUCAUUCUUUAGCAUGUAUAUACUAUGUAAAUAGUCUAAAUAUUGCAUUUUUAUGCAUAUAUUUUUAAUACGGAUGCAUUUUAUAUAUUACGUGUAUAUAUCUUUUAAUAUUGUAUUUUUAUGCAUAUACCUUAAUGCUAUAACACUUAUAUAUUUUUAUUUCUCAUAUUAUCUUAUGUUUAUGUUUUUAAACUAUACCAUGUAUAUACUACUAUUAUCUACUUAUAUAAUUGUUAAUAGUUGUUUUCAAAGAUUAUGAUUAUUUCUAAUAUAUGUAUUAUGUGUUUACCUUUAAUAUUAUAUAUUAUAUAUUCUCAUUAUUCUCAUUACUUUUAUUAUUAUUAAUUUUAUUAUUUGACAUAUUAUUGUUAUCAUUCAUUUUUUUUCUUACUAUCAUUGCAUUAUUAUUAUUACUUUUUUUAUUUUCUCAUUACUUAGUUAUUUAUGUUUCUUAUUCACUCAUAUUUUCGUUAUUAUUACGGUGUUAGCAUUAUGUUUAUUCGUUUACUCACAUGUGUCUCAAUAUAUUUGCAAAUCCACAUUAUUCGUCAUUAUUAUCGUUAUAUCAUCACCUCUGUUAUUAUUAUGGUUGUUAACCCUGCGAUUUGUUUCUCAUUUCACCAUGUGAUUAUGAUUACGUUGGUCCUUCACUCGACACAUGUAAUUGUGUUUUCUAAAAUAAAACAAGUUUCGUAUUUAGAUAAUUCGAGAAAAUUGUGCCCUAACUUACUGGGUUUCGGUUUUCCUCGUUUAAUCUAAAUAACGACAUAAUCCUCUUAAAUCGCAAUACGAGUUUUAAAAGAAAAAUGCUUAUUUUCGGGGAUACGAGGUAUGGUGCCCUAACUUACCGGGUAUGACAUUUUGUUACCUCGAAAUAAGAUCUUUUGUAAAAUAAAGGCAAUGUUCGGUGUUCGAAAAUUCGAGGAAACGUGCACUAACUUACUGGGUUUUGAUUUUCCUAGUUCACCCUAAAUAACCGAACAUCCUUUUUAAAAAGGGGGUUAAAAUACAUGAAUUUUAUAUAAAAGGCAAGCUCGCUCUUGAAAAUUCAAGAUGUCGUGUCCUAACUUACUGGAUGUGACAUUUCAUAUUUUGAGACGAGAAGGUCCUUAACACCUGAGCUUUUUUAUAAAGAAAGAUCGUAUUUCAAAAGUCUUUCAAGUUUUCAAUCUUCGACACUAAGACACUAAUUAAUCAACUAGGUACCAAUUUUGGGUGUAUCGAGGGUGCUAACCCUUCCUCUGCGUAACCGACUCCCGAACUUAUUUUCUGAUUUUUCGUAGACCAAAAAAAAAUUUCGUUUUAGUAAAUCUUAAAUUUUAUUAAAAUGAUUAAUUUAAGGUGACCCGAUCACACCUCAUCAAAAAGGAUUGGUGGCGACUCCCGUUCUUUCAUUUUCAAAUCUAAGUCGAUCCCCGUUUCGUUUUUCCAAAAAAUGGUUACUACAGCUUGGCGACUCCACUGGGGACCUAAUAAGAGAGUCAAGCUACAAGUUGAUUAACUUUUUGUCUUUUUGUCAAAAAUUGAGAAUUUGGUUUUGAUAUACGAUCCCUUCAUUGCAUUUCACCCGUUUUUCGUGCGAUUUUCAUCAUUUUAUUCCCAUUUUCUUUAAUCGCUUCAAGUUUUCAUCAUUAUAUCCUCGUACAUUGCAUUGCAUGACCGUUGUGGUCACACCCUUUAAGUGGGAGUGAGAAACUAUUACUUCGUGAGGUUUUCACCUCCGUGCAGGAUAGCGGAUCGCUUUCGGGAUACAUCCGUACCUAUGUUUUCGUGAGAUUUUCAUCUCCGUAUAGCCAUAGGGAAAUGUAUUCCCCUGAACUGAACUCGGUCUAUAUGAACCUAUAAUAAGUGAAGAUCAAGGAAUCUGCUGGUUCAGGUACCCUUACUCUAGAACCAAACCAUAUAUAGAGAGACCUAGGAGCCCACCCUAGGUAGAGCCACUCCGAACCCCUAGAGGUUACCCAAAUUGCUUUAUUUGUUAUUUAUUUAUCCUGUACUAACGUGUUUUGUUUUUGUUUUGUUUAUAAUUGCAUUGCAUUACAUCAUCAUAGGAAUGAGGUGUUGAUUCAUAUUUGAUUGUUAAAUAGAACAGUUUUUCAUAAGAAAAUGAAUUUUUUGAUAAAGUGGAUUAUAACACGGUUGUCUAAAUAUGGUCCAAGUAAACACAAUGAAAGAAGGCUGAUAGUCCGUGAAGAAAUACAAGACUUUGCUUCAUUGCCUGAGGAUGCAAGCCAACAAAGAUUAUUCAAGAGUCGUCACGUCUUAAAGGAGCUAACGAGUAUCGUAGGGACAAGUGAUCAAUAAGUCGCGGCCUGGAUCAAGCAAAAAGGAGUUAAUAUAGACAUCUCUUGGGGAAUUUGCAAGACUCGACCAUAAGAUCCGGAUAUGAAGAGGAAGUUAGGUGUCUUCACUUGGAAUAUGAGAGAAAUGCCGUAUAUGUAGUCCGUUUUAUGUAAAGGAAUUUAUUUUCUAGAAAAGUUGUUUCUAAUGAAAUUGAAUUCAGAAUCAAUGCAUUCCUUUCUUUUGCAUUCAUUUCAUGCAUCUGCAUUGCAUUGCAUUAUCUGCAUUAGACUUUCCCUAAAAGAACCUUAAUUAGGUGAAAUUAUUUCAGUUAGCCUGGGAACCGACAAAGGUCAAACGACUAGGCAUCUUUACGGUACACGGAAAAGGAUAAAAGAUAUGGAUCAAAGAUUGGAAAGACUUGAACAACUUCAAAGAGAGACGCAAGACCUGCUACAACUGCAAAUGCAAGAGCAACUGGCGAAGAUCGAACAAGAUAUAAGGGACCAAAUGCUAGAGGCCCAAAGGAAUAUGAUGAAUCAGUUGUCCCAAUUACUGACUAAGGGGCUAGGAAAAGGAAAAAACUCCAUGAUCAAUGCUGGGGAGAACAAUGAGAAACCUCUAUGCCCUCCGGGUUUCACCUUGAUAAAUGAUCAGACAUGUCCGCAAGAUGUACCUAUUGCUAUCAGAUCACAACAUCAGGUCGGUACCUUGGCACCCAUGAACUACCCGACGGGCUCAGGUCCAAUCCAAGGAACAGUCUAACCAAUCAUGAAGUUCCUGAUCUAGACAAAAUGGAAGGAAUAGAAAAAGAAAAGGUUGAACUGGAAAGACAACUUGAAGAUCGAUACAAGUGGUUGGAAGAAAAACUUAGAGUGAUAGAGAAUGCUGAUUACCAUCGCGGGGUCGAUGCCAAGGAUCUGAGUUUGGUCCCUGAUCUAGUACUCCCGUCAAAAUUUAAGACUCCAGAGUUUGAAAAAUACAAUGGGACUAGUUGUCCUGAAGCUCACAUCACAAUGUUCUAUCGAAGGAUGACAGGAUAUGUUAAUAACGACCAAUUAUUAAUUCAUUGCUUCCAAGACAGUCUGAUCGGGUCAGCAACUAAGUGGUACAAUAAAUUAAGUCGUGCUAAAAUCAAUUCAUGAAAAGACUUAGCAUGGGCUUUCAUGAAGCAGUAUGGCCACAUGACUGACAUGGCACCCGACAGAAUUACACUACAGAAUAUGGAAAAGAAGCAAUGUGAGAGCUUCAGGCAAUAUGCCCAAAGAUGGAGAGAGGUAGCGACGCAAGUCCAACCACCUCUUCUAGAGAAAGAAACUACAUCGCUUUUCAUCAACACUCUGAAAGCCCCGUUCAUUACCCAUAUGUUGGGAAGCGCUACCCUGAGCUUCUCAAACAUAGUAAUGUCCGGCGAGAUGAUUGAAAACGCAAUCAGAAGCGGGAAGAUAGAUGCAGGAGAAAACACCAAGAGGUCAACCCCAAAUAGAAAUGAAAAUGAAGUGAAUAAUGUAAGCAAAGGGUACCCCAAAUUGGUCAACAUAGGUCAGCCGAGGCAGGAAUCCAACUCGAGGCCGAAUACAGAAAGGCUCCGGUUUACACCAAUCUCAAUGUCAUAUAAGGAGUUGUAUCAGAAUCUCUUUGAUGUACAUGUAGUGUCACCGUUCUACUCAGAACCAGUGCAACCUCCGUUCCUAAAAUGGUAUAAUGAGAAUGCUCAAUGCGAGUACCACGCGGGAAUAACGGGACACUCAAUCGAAAACUGCACUACUUUUAAAAAGUUGGUCGAAAGGUUCAUUGAAAUGGGAGUUGUAAGGUUUGACGAUUCCUCAGAACCAAAUCGCUCUGACGAUAUAGUAAAUACGAUUUGAAAGUGGGGGCAAGAGAGUUGCAAUGCCUUGAACAAGUCAAAAGCCUGGAAGGAAUAUCAGGGAAUCUGAAUGACAUAUCCAAAGAGGGAACUGGAGAAUACUAGUUUCCAAACCCUUGCGUACUUGGGGAUGUUUUGAACAAUGGGACUGUAGAAGAAAUCCCUGUAUUUUUAGAGCUAAUCUAGAGUAAUAUUCAAAACACGCUUGUUGCUUUAAGCCUUGAAGCAAUUAGACCCCUUUUGUGAAAUAUGCUUGUGUCCUUAGUCUUUAUUUCAAUAAAAUGCAUAUUUUUUGAGUAAAUAUUCUUUUAUUUCAUUUCAUACUAUACAAAUAAUUGUUCAUAGAUUCUUUUGUUCUUUGGACUUUCUUUCAAACAUUCAUGUAUACUUCAUCCAUGAUCAUAGAAUCAUUUAUUCUUUAGAAUCACUACAGCAAAACAGGUUUUUAGCGGCGUUUGAAUGAAAAACGCCACUAAUGCUCGAUCUUUAGAAAAACGCCGCAAAAGAAUUUUACAAAACGGCGUUGUUUUGUAUUGAGCUUUUAGUGGCUUUAGCGGCGCUUUUUAAAAAAGUGCCACAAAAAACAUUUCAUCUGUCUACUUACAGUUUAACUGGUUUAUUUUUAUUAAAAUACAAUUUAUUUUUAAUUAAAUAUUUAAAUUCUUCAGAAAAAAAUAAUGACACAGAGAAAAAAUUUGAAAGUAAAAACAUAGAAAAAUAUUUAUUAAAAAUGAAAAAAAUGAAAAAACUAUUAUUUAAAAUAAUUUUAAAGAUUUUUGGUAUAUGACUGAUUGUUUUUUAAUUUAUAUGUUAAAUAUUUUCUUAUAUAAUUUUAAAAGAGAUAGUAUUAAUUUUAAAAUAUUGAAUUAAUUAUCAUUAUAGUAUAGUGUUUACGGUAUACGGUAUACGAUUAAGGGUUUAAUGUUUAUGAGUUACUAUUUUAAGGUUUAUGGAUUAUGGGUUUAGGGAUCAUGGUUUAAGGGUAGUUUAAGGUUGGGGUUUAAGGUUUCACUACAGCAAAACAGGUUUUUAGCGGCGUUUUUUGAAAAACGCCACAAAAAAUGAAAAAAAUUAAAAUACCAUUGUUUAAAAUAAUUUUAAAGAUUUUUUGUAUAUGACUAAUUGUUUUUUAAUUUAUAUGUUAAAUGUUUUCUUAUAUAAUUGUAAAAGAGAUAGUGUUAAUUUUAAAAUAUUGAAUUAAUUAUCAUUAUAGUUUAGGGUUUACGGUAUUUGGUUAAGGGUUUAAUGUUUAUGAGUUACUAUUUUAAGGUUUAUGGAUUAUGGGUUUAGGGAUUAUGGGUUAUGGUUUAAGGGUUGGGGUUUAAGACUUAAGGGUUAUGGGUUAAGUGUAGGUUUUUAGGGUUUAUAGAUUAUGGUUAUGAUUUAGGGUUUAGGGGGUAGGGAUUAGGGGUUUAAGGCUUAGAUUAAUUAAUGCUUUGUAAUUUAUAUAUUAAAUAAUUUAUUAUAUAAUUGUAAAAGAGAUAAGAUUAAUUUUAAUAUAUUAAAAUUAUGAUUAUAGUUUAAAUUAUAGGUUAAGGUUUGGGGUUUAUAGUUUAGGAUUUAUGAUACAGGGUUUUGGGUUUAGGGGGUUAGGGGUUGGGGUUUAAGGGUAAAUAUAGUGAACUACUUAACUUGUGUAUCUUAGAUUUUUUUAUAAUAUAAAUCUAAAUAAGAUAAAUAUAAAUUAUUAUUUUAAAAAUAUAUAUAUCAAAAUGGGUUAAAUCCCAAAAGCAUAAAUUGUGAACACAAUUAUUGAUAUAAAUCAUUUUAUAUUUAUAUACUGCAUAUAUAAAUGUUUAUAUUUAUUCAAUAUAAAAAUAUAUUGAUGUAUUUAUUUUUUAAAACGUGUAUGAUUAAAUCAAAAUUAAAGUUUCAACUAUACAUUUAAAUCACAAUUAGAAUUUCACGUCUAUAAUUACACAUUAAACUGAAAUUCAUAUAUAAUAUUGAGAUAUAUCUCUAUCAAAAUUUAGGUAUAUACAUAUAAUUAAAUAUAAUUUAAAUUAUUUAAGAGAUAAUGAUAAAGUUUAUAUAUAUUAAAAUAAAAUAAAGAAUUUUUAGCAGAGCAAAAAGGUGAGAAAAUAACUUUUUGUGGCGUUUUUAUUAAAAAUGCCACAAAAAGUAAGCGGUGUUUUUUAUACGCCACAAAUUUUUUUACACAAAACGGUACCGUCUUGUUACUCAAAAUGCAUUAGACUUUUUCGUUCCCCCUUCCCCCGAAAUCCCAAAAUUUGACAAGAAAUCUUUUUUUUUUUCCCUCUUUUCUUUUCCCAAAAUCGGUUCCCUCCCCCAUCCCUAAAGAAAUCCUAAAAUUUCACUUGAAAUUUCUUCUCUUUUUUUCCCCAUUUUAUUUUUCCCAAACCAUUUCUCCCCUACCCCGAUUCCCUUUAUUUUUCCCCCAAUUUCCUCAAAUCGGCAGCCCUCUGCAUCUCCGUCGGUAGCCCGUUGCUGUAUCUCUGUCGACAUUUGCUGUCGGUAGCCCUCUCUCUCUUUGUUUACUAUCACUGUUUUUACUUGUAAUUUUCAUAUUAAUAACUAUCUCUUCAAAUGGGUUUUCUUUUCAAUUUAUAUGCCAUCGGGAAUAGACCUCUUUAGUCUUCAAAAACACUUUCCCUGAUCGUUAAUUUUACUACAGUUGACAGUGUUCUAAGGGUUCAGACUCGAGAGUGUGCUAUUGGUAUGCUUGAAAAAGCUAUAAAGUAACUUCAUUUGUUCAGUUCUCCUUGUGCUCAGAGAUAAAUCGAUUCUUGUUUUUUUGAAUUUUGCAAUUUGAGAAAACAAAUACUCUUGUUCUUCCCUCUGUUGUUUGCUCCCUCUUGAAUAUUCACUGAAAUCCCAAAAAUCCCAUAUUGUUCUUGUUUUGUUUUGUUUUUGCUCCCUCUGUUGUUUUUGAAUACUCUCAUCAACUUCGUUUAGCUUUCUUUUUAUUUUUGUGUGUGUUUUUAUAUGGCUGUUUACUAUUUCAACGACAACAUUUUUUUAUCUGGGAAUUGUUAUUCUGGUUUCCUCGAUCCCUUUUCCCGUGAUUUGGGUCCAUGCAAUGGGAUUUCACAGUCCUUGUUUUGGAUAAUGAGAAAAGUGAGCUGGUGGUGAAGUCGCCGGUGAAGGUUGGGAAGAAAAGCGUGGCGGAAGAGAAAGUUAUAGCGGCUUUAAAGAGUCAUAGCGAAGCUGAGAGGAGGAGGAGAGAAAGGAUUAAUGCUCACCUGGACACCCUCCGUACUCUCUUUCCAUAUAGAGAAAAAGGUUCUUCUUACAACCUUCUUUAUAUAUGUUAGAUGGAUAAUAUAGUUCAUUUAAAUUGUUUGCUUAUAUUAUGUGCCUGCUAGGAUUCUUUAAGUCUUAAAACUUUUGUUUAACAAUGAUCAUUAGAUGUAAUUACCAGGUUGUCCAGGUAGAGUAUAAGGUAGAAUAUGAAGGGUAGCUAUGAACCUGAAAUGAUCUUUGACGACCGUAAAAUGAAUAUUUGGAUAUUUUAAUUAUAACAAAAAAAAAAUUGUUGUAAGGUCAUUUGCUGCAUCAAUUUUGCACUUGGAAGGUCAACUCUGAAUUUCAUAAAUGCUGGAGUCAACUAAGGGGAUGCAUCAUUCUUUUUAGCAGAUGUUUUACAAUUUGACAAUUACGAGAUUAAGGUUUAUUUAGGAUCCCAAUUUCAGACCUUCAGUUCUAGAUAAUGGCCUGCCUUUGAAGCUGUAAUUGCUUCCAUUGGUGGAGAUAUUAUCUGCAAAAUUUAUAGGAGAAGUUUUUAUACAGUGUGUGAUUUUGAGAAAUGCACUGCAAGGUAUUGAUUUUAUUUCUUCCUCUGAUGAUGAAAUCUGUGCAAAAUGGUUAGGAAUAAAAGUGGUUCAAUAGGGGAAAACCUUGUGAUUUUGCUCUUGCUUACUACUUGGUAUCACUCAUUUUCACAUUUCACCUUGUGUAUAUUUUAGCAUUUAUCUUUCCUGUCUUCUAAUCUGCGCCACCUUUCCUAUCCUUCACCCAUUCCACACGACACACAUAUAACCCCCUUCUCUCUCUGUUCAAUUGCAGUGCGGAUGGUUCAUCUUUUAUCGUUUACUCUCUCUUUGUUUCCUUUUGAAGAGAUUUUUAAGCUGUUUAUCUUUUCUCUUGAUAAUAAGCUCUAACGGCAGAAAAACAAAAGGAGGGAUCUUUUGAAGUGGAAAAAAAGAGAAUAAGAUCAGAUUAACAUCUUUGUUGGUUUUUUUUUUAACUUUUUAUUUAUUUGGGUUUGGGAAAUGAAUUGUGAGUUUUUGAUUUGUUCUUCACAAGGAUCUGUUUUAAGCUUUUGGGUUUUUUUUUUGAGUGUUUAGAGAAAGAGAAAUGGCUGGAAGUAAUGAAAUCAACCUCAACGAGUGCAAGGUACAAUAUUUUCUCCUUUUUUUUUUUCGUUUACUCAUUGUGUAUAUUCUUUCUAGAAUUGGGUUGUCAAAGUUGAGUUCUAUAAUGAAUUCUUCAUAUAUUUUCGAGGUUGUUUUGGUUAAUGAAGCUGAGUUUUAGCUUAUUUUUUUGUUAGAGUUGAUGGUCUUAUCAAUCUUAUUUAUUGAACUUUUUUUCCAUAUUUGAAUAUCUAGGGUUAUGGGUUGUGGAAAGUUGAUUCUUUUGCUGUUUUUGGGGUAUGGAACAGUUUAGUUUGAUUUUUAAGCUUCAACGUCAUAUAUGAGUUUAUGUAUUAUAUUGUUGUUUUAAUUAUAUAAUUGAAUAAAUAUUGUUAAUUGAGGUGUUAAACUGCUGCAAACUGAAGUGUUUGAAUGCUGUAAAUUGAAGUGUUUGAAUGCUGUAAAUUGAAGUGUUUAAAUGCUGUAAAUUGAAAUGCUUAAAUGUUGCAAAUUGAAGUGUUUAAGUACUGCAAAUUGAAGUGUUUAGUUGCUGGAUAUUGAGAUGUUUUAUCGCUGUAAUUGAGGUGUAUAAAUGUUGUUAAUUGAGAUGUUAAAGUGCUGCAAAUUGAAGUGCUUAAAUGCUGUAAAUUGAAGUGUUAAAGUGCUGCAAAUUGAAGUGUUUGAAUGCUGUAAAUUGAAGUGCUUAAAUGUUGCAAAUUGAAGUGUUUAGUUGUUGGACAUUGAGAUGUUUUAUCGCUGUAAUUGAGGUGUAUAAAUGUUGUAAAUUGAGAUGCUAAAGUGCUGCAAAUUGAAGUGCUUAAAUGCUGUAAAUUGAAGUGUUAACGUGCUGCAAAUUGAAGUGUUUGAAUGCUGUAAGUUGAAGUGUUUAAAUGCUGUAAAUUGAUGUGCUUAAAUGUUGCAAAUUGAAGUGUUUAAGUACUACAAAUUGAAGUGUUUAAGUACUGGACAUUGAGAUGUUUUAUCGCUGUAAUUGAGGUGUAUAAAUGUUGUUAAUUGAGAUGUAAAAGUGCUGCAAAUUGAAGUGCUUAAAUGCUGUAAAUUGAAGUGUUAAAGUGCUGCAAAUUGAAGUGUUUGAAUGGUGCAAAUUGAAGUGUUUAAGUACUACAAAUUGAAGUGUUUAGUUGUUGGACAUUGAGAUGUUUUAUCGCUAUAAUUGAAGUGUUUAAAUGUUGUUAAUUGAGAUGUUAAAGUGCUGCAAAUUGAAGUGUUAAAGUGCUGCAAAUUGAAUGUAGCUGUCUUAUAUUUUGAACAAUUAUUGGAGCUAAUGUUUGACCCUUAAUUUCUUCAUUAUCUUUUUUUUUAAUUUGAUUAAUGUUAUUGUUUCGUUAAUUUAAAUUCAUUAAUUUUUUAUAUUUAGUUUUGAAGUUUAAAUUUUAAUAGGAAAUUUAAUUUAAUUAAUAUUUUUUAUUUAUCAUUAAAAGUGUAUAGUUUAAAGUUCAAAGUUCAAAUUUUAAACAUAAUAUAAUAUUUAAUUAAAAUAAUUUUUUUAAAGGUUAUAUUCUUUAGCGGCGUUUGUGGAAAAAGUGCCGCUAAAGGUUUAUUUUAUAGCGGCGUUUGUAGGAAAAGUGCUGUUAAAGGUUAUGACUUUUAGCGGCGCUUUUCCAACAAAUGUCGCUAAAAGCCAUGAUUUUUAGCUGUGCUUUUCCCACAAACGCCGCUAAAAACCAUGACUUUUCGCAGCGUUUUUUUGAAUAAACGCCGUAAAUUUUUACGGCGUUUCUUAUAGUGGCGUUUUUUGUGGCGCUAGUAAAAACGCCGCAAAUAGUUUUAGUGGCGAUUAAAAAUGCCGCUAAAGGCUAAAAAAAGCGCCGUUAAAAGUCUAUUUUCUUGUAGUGAAUCUACUUUCAGCGGGUCCCCAGAUAUUGAUGAUGUGAGUAACGCUGUCAUUGACUCCGAGUCUCCUUUUGGGCCAAAUAUGGGCCUAAAGGGAUCUCAACACUUUGAAGAUGACAGAGAUGUAGACUACUCUCUGAUUUGUUAAGGAUGGUAGAGUAAGAUGAAAACAGAUCCUUUCUUACAAAAAGACAGUGGACAGUAGGCCUAGGACAAGAGAAAGAGGCAAACAUCGGAGUCUGCAUCACCACAAAGGCAAAGCAAGAUGUCAUUGAGUCACUUCCAAGAAUUUAAAGAUUUUUUGCACGAUCGUAUCAGGAUACGGCUGGCUACUAAGACAUGAGGAUGUUGCAGGGUUUUGAAUGACAUAUGCUGGCCAGGCUAAUCAUGAGAUUUGGGUUCUGCUGGUCUACCAUAGAAAGGGAUUGCAUCAGUAUACCGUAAAUGCCAAAUUUAUGGAGAGAAAAUUUAUGUGCCUUUUCAUUCUUUCGACUUUCUCUAUAUGGGGCAUGGAGGUUAUUGGGCCGAUUUCGUCGAAAGCUUCCAGCAGACAUCAAUUACUUUGCCAAGAGGGUGAAAGUCGCUUUAUAUGCCAAUCAUCAAAUCUUAAAAAAAAAAGAAAAAGAAAAAGAAGAAGAAGAAAAAGAAGAAGAAGAUCAUGGAAAGAUGACUAAGACUUGUAAAGAUCGGCAUAAGAAGUCAUCAUGUACCCUCUAUGCUCAUCGAACGUCGGCUAGGACCUUAGCUGGGGCAAUACAUUGCUCGUUGGUUUAUAAGAUAGAAUCGAUUUUAAAUAUGAGACUCCUUUUCUCCGAGUCUCGUCAGAGCUGAAGUUAGAUAAGGCAGAAUGGAUUCAAUCUUGAUAGGAUCAAUUGAAUUUGAAAAGAGAGGGUCGAAAGCUAUCUGUCGAAAUCCAAUGCACCGAAAAUGACUGAUGCGAGCUUACGAUGAAGAAGCUUAUCUUAGAAAAUUCCACGAAGGGAACUUGAUGUUAAAGAAUAUCCCUUCUAUACAAAAGGACUUCAGAGGAAAGUGGAUGUCAAAAUAGGAGGGACUUUAUGUAGUAAAAGGCCCAUUCUGGAGGAGCGUUGAUGGCGAAGAUUUUCCCAAUCCGGUGAAUUCAAAUCCAAUCAAUGAGCAUUCUACCUAAAAGGAAAGAGGCCAAGGUGAAAACCCGCAAAGGGCGUCUUGAAACAAAAAAAAAGAAAGAAAAAGGAGAGGCCAAGGCGAAAACCAACAAAUGGCACCUUGAGAUCAAAGGGAAUUUGAGUUGAAAACCUAAAAAGGGCAGCUCAAAUUUGGAUCAAAGUGGGGCAUACAUUAGUCUUGCUAUGCCUGAAUUAACAAUGAAAAAGUAUGCUACGUCUUGGGGCAUCAACAAAGUAUUCCGGAUCCCUUAAACACAUAUUGAGCUCAGAAAGGUCAUCAAGAAGUUGGUACAGAGAAGCUCAAGCCGCGAUAUCUGGGACAUCUAGCUUCCAUUUUGCCCAUUUUGAAUUUGUUAUCUUUGAUUCUUUUUAAGAUAUGUUCGAAUAAAUUUUCUUCUUAUUGCAUUGCUAUCUUUGAUUAACUUAUUCAUUUUAAGUUAAUUCCCUUCUUAUUGCAUUUGUAAUCUUUGAUUAAUUAAUUUAUUUUGAGCUAUGCUCCCAAUCAAUUUUCUUCUUAUCCAUUGUUUUGAUAUUUUUCAAGCAUUUUGCAUUGAAAUAACGAUUAAUGGACCAAUAAUACUUUCAUAAAAGAAGUUCUGCAUAUUACUUUAGGAGCUUCUAAAUAGUACAGGAGCCUGAAACAGGACCAUUAUUCAGAACUCACUAAGCCUAAGGGUUGGAAAUAUUUGAGCCUAAAUUGAAAUUAUCUCAUCAAGUUUUCUGUUAAAGAUAUUGGUUGGGUAGAAAAAUCACAUUGGUGUUACAAUCCCGGCAAAGAACAAGCAAUAUGAUUAUUCUCGAGAAAAGAAAAAUGGUAUUCUGCAUUCAUACAAAUAUCAGGGACAUACAUUUGUUCAUUACACCUAAGGAAUGGUGUAACAGAUCAAAUUGAUUGAAGAUGAUACAAAUUCUAUACCUUUGAGUUGCAACAAGAUGGAUGGAAGAAACCAAAUGUUGUUCCUCUGAAAUGAUAGUAGGAGGCACAAACUUUAUGUCCCAGAAGGUACAGUAGAAGGGACUCUGAAAUUACAGCAGGAAAAGCUUACUGAGCAAAAUGUGAUUGUUUUUCUGACUCUUCUGUCAAGAAUACCAGCCGAACAAGAUGGCAGCGUAAUACGUCAGUGAUAAUGUCCUGAUGAACAACGAGUGAUGAUACCUUAAGCCUUUUUAAAGGGAUCAUUUUCAUUCAUAUAUCAUUCAUAACACAUCUAAUUAGGAGCAUUUGAUUCAUUUCGAUCAUAACAUUCUAAUUAUUUGACACAUUCAUAACACAUCUAGUUAGGAGCAUUUGAUUCAUUUCAAUUAGAGUAUCCUAAUCAUUUGGCAUAAGUACAUGAAACUGAUUUUAUAGAUUUUAUCCCCCUAAGCAGUAAGGAAACAGAUCGAAGGUGACAAGCCUUAACCCCCUAAGUAGUAGGGUAACAGGCUGAAGAUUUAUAGAUCUUAUCCCCCUAAGCAAUAGGGAAACAGAUCGAAGGUGACGAGCUUUAACCCCCUAAGCAGUAGGGUAACAAGCUAAAGUUCAUAGAUCUUAUCACCCUAAGCAGUAGGGAAGCAGAUCAAAAGAUGGCGAAUCUUGCCUUCCUGAAGUUGCAGUGAAGCAGAUUCAAACCACCAAGCCUUAAUCCCCUAAGUAGUAGGGUAACAGGUUGAAGAUCUACAGAUUUUAACCCCCUAAGCAGUAGGGAAACAGAUCGAAGAUGAUGAUCUUAUCACCCUAAGCAGUAGGGAAACAGAUCAAAUGGGCCUUAACCCCCUAAGCAGUAGGGUAAUAGGUUGAAAAUCACAGAUCUUGCCUCCCUGAAGUUGUAGUGGAGCAGAUCAAAUACAUCGAAUCUUGCCUCCUUGAAUGCAGUGAAGCAGAUUCAAACCACCAAGCUUUAACCCCCUAAGCAGUAGGGUAACAAGAUGAAGUUUAUAGAUAUUAUUGCCCUAAGUAGUAGGGAAACAGAUCGAAGAUGAUGGGCUAAACCCCCUAAGCGGUAGGGUAACAAGCCAAAUUUACAGACCUUGAAUCCCUAAGCAGUAGGGAAACAGAUCGAAGGCGACGAGCUUUAACUCCCUAAGCAGUAGGGUAACAAGCUGACGUUCAUAAGAUCUUAUCACCCUAAGCAGUAGGGAAGCAGAUCAAAAGACAGUGAAUCUUACCUUCCUGAAGUUGUAGUAAAGAAGAUUCAAACCACCAAGCCUUAAAACCCUAAGCAGUAGGGUAACAGGUUGAAAAUCAAAUGUCUUCUCCCUAAAGCAGCAUGUGGAGUUGACCCAAGCCACGACAGAUCUCCUUGAAGUUUCAGUAGAGUUAAUUGAAGUCACAAGUCUUAUCUAUAUAGAGUUGAAACGGAGUGGAGUAACAAGAUUGGAAUGAAGCUACUUGGAGAAAAGGAACGCUAAACAAGUCCAGACAUGGUGAGACCGGGCAAAAUUGGUCUUUCUUAAGUCUUUGCUCUGUUCUCGUUACACGAUAACAAGCAAAGAGGGGCGGCUGUAUAAGCCCAAUUUUGGGCCCAAAACCCUUAAACCUACCUAGCCCACAACCCACUAAACCUAACAGAAGCUCAAACAACCAAAAUCUACCCAAAACUAAUCCCAAUCUGACCCAACUAGCUAAAAAAUUUAGGGUUUCAAAAUUUGAAACCUUAAAUCACCUAUCCCACCGCCCUCAAUCACAUCUCUUGCAAGUGGCCUCUGCUCCACCGCCUCUUCACCUGUAACCAUUAAAUGUGAGAAUAGUGUAGAAAACAGAGGGAUUGUAAAGCCUUUAUAAAAGCCGAAUGGAUGAUUUUGUAAAAGAGGUUUUUAGGUUAGCAGAUUUGUACAAUAAAAUCUUUUAGAUUGGAACCACCUAUAUCAAAAAAGAAGUCUCAAUACCAAAGCAGAGAUUAAAAAUACCAACAAAUCGCAAGAAGCAAAAAAGAAGCCCAAAGAAGAAAUCAAAAUAAAAAAACGAGGUGUUUUAAAAUUUUUGAAUCUGUUUUUCUUUUCUUUUUUUUCUUUUCCUGUCUACAUGGACAUGCAUAUAUGUUAUUAAAAUAAAGAAGAAAAAUAAAAAAAAUACACCUUUUUCGAAACCCCGGCCACCGCACGGCACCGGCGGUGAAAGGCGUGACGGACGGUGAUGAAUGCUGGUCGGACCCGGGGUACCUGCAGAGAGAAAAGAGAGGAUUAGAAGACCUUUUUUAAAAAAGGGAGAAGGGAAAUGAAAUUAAAAAAAAAAUUAGUCUAUAUAGGCCGGCAAAACGCACCGUUUUGCCCGCCCCUUUUAAAACCCAAAAACGGCGCCGUUUAGGUGCGACCCGAAGACCCGACCCGUCUUACCCUGGGAUCAGCGUGUUUUUUCUCUUAGGGGAUAAUUGCAUGCUCGGUCAUUCCGCUUUUUAUAUGUUUUGCAAUCAAGUUUUCAAUUCUUUUAAAUUAGCCCCGAGGUUUAUCGCAUUUUGCAAGUUGGUCCUCCCUUCAGCGACACUGUUUCAAGGGCUCGGGUAAAUUGCCCUUUUGGACCCCGUGUGUUAUUUGUGCUUUCAAA